rnacentral:rRNA from 1 species
UACGUAGGGUGCGAGCGUUAAUCGGAAUUACUGGGCGUAAAGCGUGCGUAGGCGGUUUGCCGUGUCCUGUGUGAAAGCCCCGGGCUCAACCUGGGAAUUGCAUGGGAAACUGGCAGGCUUGAGUGUGGCAGAGGAGGGUGGAAUUCCGCGUGUAGCAGUGAAAUGCGUAGAGAUGCAGAGGAACACCGAUGGCGAAGGCAGCCCUCUGGGCCAACACUGACGCUCAGGCACGAAAGCGUGGGGAGCAAACAGG